GAAAGAAAUAUGUCAAUCUCCGUUGUUUCUCCCUCCUUCCGGCGGCAAAAGGAGGGUAGGGUUUCACCUCAUCAUCCCUCUCGCCGUUUCCAGCGGAGUUCGGUGCCCCAGUCGAACUGCUCGGUAUAUGUAUUGUUGAAAGCAAAAGCAUUUGGUAAAAGAAGCAUCCUAUGAUAAGGAUUCUCAGUUUCGUGGCCAUGAAAUUCCAUCAGGUUGAUUUGUGCUACAACACUCAUCCAGUAUGACUGACAAUCGUAAAGGAAAUGGUGUGGUUUAAGAAGCAAAGGAUCCUUUAAACACGUCUGCCUAUCCAUUGAUAAGGUAUUGCGAGCACAAUGUGGAUUUGAUUCACCACCUCUUGGUUCCAGCUGCGGAGGAGAGAUCAAGCUGAAGACUGAGGAAGUCAUGGAAGUGGAGCUGUGAGUGAGCCUUGUCUCGAACAGAUCUUGAAACCAUGGAAUUGUUGGUGAUGGUGGUGGCAUCUUGCUGUGUCCAGAGAAAAAGAACCAUUACACCUGUUAUUAUUGUAACCCAAAUCAUUGAGAAGAUCCUAAUAUGAUAACACUGUAAUGGUUGGCAAGCUGAAAGAUUGUGGCAUGUCAAGUUAAGAAACAAAGCUCCGCAGAGUUGAAAUGGCAAAAAAGAAUGCAGAGUAUGUCAGAGUUGCAAUAAACAAUGCAAAUAAGCUCUCUUUUGUCCA